GACGAACGCUGGCGGCGUGCUUAACACAUGCAAGUCGAACGGAAAGGCCCUGCUUUUGUGGGGUGCUCGAGUGGCGAACGGGUGAGUAACACGUGAGUAACCUGCCCUUGACUUUGGGAUAACUUCAGGAAACUGGGGCUAAUACCGGAUAGGAGCUCCUGCUGCAUGGUGGGGGUUGGAAAGUUUCGGCGGUUGGGGAUGGACUCGCGGCUUAUCAGCUUGUUGGUGGGGUAGUGGCUUACCAAGGCUUUGACGGGUAGCCGGCCUGAGAGCGUGACCGGCCACAAUGGGACUGAGAUACGGACCAGAGGCGAAUGGUGGGCAACAGUGGGGAACAUGGCACAAUGGGCCGGAGUCUGAUGAAGCGACCCUGCGUUCGUGAUGACCGCCUGUGGGUUGAAAACAGCUGUCGCCUGAGACGACGCGGGAGUGACGGUACCGAGUGAAGAAGCACCGGCUAACUACGUG
rnacentral:rRNA from 1 species